rnacentral:lncRNA from 1 species
ACCCUAACUUGUUGCGGCCAGGUCGGGCGACGGGAUGACCAAUCCCGACCGCGUCCUCAGGGCUCUUCGAACAGUAAUUGGGCACUGACUCGGGGAUGAAGGCGUGGCUCUUGAUUGGCUUUGACUCCUGCCUAUGAGACUGUGAGGAUCUCGUUUCCCUAGUAACAGAUCGGCACUAAGAGAGACCAAUAACCGAAAAGUACAAUAGAAAGGCGAGUGAGCAGUUCUUUGACUGAUACUCAAAGUAGCCAAUAAAUGUGUGGGGCUGCUCUUAUUCGUUAACACGUCUUCCCCUGGGCGGAGAUCCGUUUUCCAUGCAGGAGCGGUUGCGCCACAAGGUGGGGCCCGUGUACUUUGGGGAAGUAAACCCCUAGCAACUAGGAGGCGGGCGUCCGAGAGGCCAAGACAGCCUGUGGCCAAUCGCAACGCCGGAAGGAGCUGAUAGACACGGAGGUUGCUCUGCUCGGAAGAGACCGAGCCCCAGGGCCGCCGUGCCCUCUGGGCGGUUGUGAGGCUGUGCAGCCUGCGGCUUCUGCCCUCUUUCUUUCCCUGACUGGUUGGGUCCGGCCUCCGAGGCCUGUACCCCGCCUUUUCCGCAUAGGCAUGUGACCAGGGUCUCCCGCGGAGUUUUGCUGAGAAUUUUGGAAAUGAAGCAUGUGGAGCGCCUAUGUCGGGGGAGAGAGGCCGAGCUGAAGGAGCACGGGCGCCGGCCUCGGCCUCUGGGGAGCCGGGCCCGCUCGCCUCCCUGCGCGGGGCUAGCCCGAGCCUGGAACUCGGGAGGCCCAGGAGCGAAGUGAAAGCCCCUUCUGGUCCCCCAGGGCUCCACUCCCGCAGCAGCCCGGCUCCGUCGGCGUCAGUGGAGCCCCAGGCCUGGGUCCGAGAUGAGCGAGACGCUGCUCUGGCUCGCGGUCGCCCGAGCGCUCCCAAAACCAGGGAACAGGCCCCAGGAGAGAAGCCCCUAGAAGUUUCCUGGAGCAGGGAGUCUCCUGUAUCCUGUUAGCUCUGCAAAGGAAUCUGGACUUUAUUCUGAGGGCCUUGGAGAACCCCUGCAAAGUUUUUUAAAAGGUGGACUAAGAGAUUGGCAUUUCACAACAUGACUCUCCGAAUUGAAACACUAAGAAGAUUGGCGAAAUUUAACAUUUACAGAUUAGUAAUUUAACCCAGGUGACUCGCGAUGAGGGACAUGGCUACCCUUCACUUUUGGAGGGAGUUUUAAGUGAUACAGAUCUUUUUGCCAAGCAAUUUUUUUUUUUUUUUUGAGACGGAGCGUCGUUCUGUCGCCCUGGCUGGAGUGGAAUGCCGUGAUCUCGGCUCACUGCAACCUCCGCCUUCCUGAGUUCAAGCGAUUCUCCUGCCUCAGCCUCCCUAGUAGCUGGGAUUACAGGCGCGCGCCACCAGGAUCUGCUAAUUUUUUUGUAUUUUUAGUAGAGACGGGGUUUCACCAUGUUGGCCAGGCUGGUCUCGAACUCCUGACCUCAGGUGAUCCACCUGCCUCGACCUCGCAAAGUGCUGAGAUUAACAGGCGUGAGCCACCGCGCCCAGCAGCAAUUUAAAAAUCUAAUAAAAUUGUGCAUAUCCCCCAAAACAAUAAUGUCACUUGGUUGAUAGCCACAUUUGUUUACAAAGGCAUGUGCCAAGACUUUCACUGCAGCUUUGUCAGCAUUGCUAGAAGAUUUAAAACCCGAACACUUAAUGUUCAUCAAUUGAUAAGCUGUUUUAACAGUGAUAUACACGUAAUAUAGAAUAUUAUGCAGCAUGCCGGGCGCGGUAGCUCACGCAUGUAAUCCCAGCAUUUUGGGAGGACGAGGUGGGUGGAUCACCUGAGGUCAGGAGUUUGCGCGACCAGCCUGAGCAACAUGCGAAACCCCGUCUCUACAAAACAAAUUCAAAAACUAGCCGGAUGUGGUGGCACACGCCUGUAAUCCCGGCACUUUGGGAGGCUGAGGUGGGAAAAUCACUUGAGCUCAGAAGGCAGAGGUUGCGGCAAGCGGAGAUCUGCACUCCAGCUUGGGCACCAAAGCUGGAGUGCACUAGCAAGAUCACAGUUUACUUCAGUCUCAACCUCCUGGGUUCAAGUGAUCCUCCUACCUCAGCUUCCCAAGUAGCUGGGACCACAGUUGCCACCAAGGUGCUUGGUCCUUCCGAGGAAGCUAAGGCCACAUUGGGGUGAGGCCAUCACUUCAUCCAGUGACUAGCACCACCUCUGGCAAUGUCAGCCCCACACUCGCCCGCGCCAUGGCCUCCAUCUCCGAGCUUGCCUGUGUCUACUUGGCCCUCAUUCUGCACGAUGACGAGGUGAUCAUCAUGGAGGUUAAUAUCAAUACCCUCAUUAAAGCAGCCAGUGUAAAUGUUGAACCUUUUGGCCUGGCUUGUUUGGAAAGGCCCUGGCCAACGUCAACAUUGGAAGCCUCAUCUGCAAUGUAGGGGCUGGUGGACCUGCUCUAGCAGCUGGUGCUGCACCAGCAGGAGGUCCUGCCCCCUCCAUUGCUGCUGCUUCAGCUGAGGAGAAGAAAAUGGAAGCAAAGAAAGAAGAAUCUGAGGAGUCUGAUGAUGACAUGGGCUUUGGUCUUUUUACUAAACCUGUUUUAUAAUGUGUUCAAUAAAAAGCUGACUUUACUGCUGUUGGUCUUGCCCAUAGUUUGGGAAUGUGCUCUGCAAAAAUGGUCUCAGUUUUGUAAUGUUGGCUUUUAACCUAUUCUGCCAUGACACAGGCUGGUUUUGCCUGCCACCGUUGCCUGAUGUGAGAUCUUGGACAAUCCUGAUGCCAACAAGAAGGCACCUCAUGGUACAGUGUUGAAAGCUGAAGUGGGGUGGCAGGAGGAAGGAUCAGAGCAGAUGCUUUGUCCAAGUUACGUAUAAACUUGAUAAUUAUCAAGUAUUAUAAACUUAAUAGAGCCACCAUGUCCAAUUUUUAAUUGUGGUAAAACAUACAGAACAUAAAAUUCCUCUUUCUAACCAUUUUUAAGUGUAUAAUUCAGUGGCAUUAAGUAUAUUCACAAUGUUGUACAAGCAUACUCAGAGUUCUUAACUGUUGUCAACUAAUCAAAAAAUAUUUUGAAUACUUUAGGAACUGAAGUUAUCAAGUUUAUAAUACUUGAUAUAAAUAUCAAGUUUAUAAUAUGUGAUAAACUACACUCUUUAUACUGAUAGACUACACUGGAGGUGGAGGGUAAUACAGACUUCAGCUUUAGAAAGCCUCCUGGGUAAUUACCCUAUACAACCCUGCCUAAGAAUUUUGACCUAUGCUGAAUGUUGACUGCUACAUCCCAAGGUUGUAAAGCAACAAGACCUAGCUAUGUAGUGUCUCAACAAAUGCUUGGAAGUUUUACAGUAACACUGAAGGAGUACAGAAACUAAACCAUUAAGGUCCCCAGUUACACAAUGUGGAUAAAACAAGAUUCAAACCUGUGUUCCAAAAACUAAGAGCUUUUUUUGUUUGCCAAUUAAUAAUAGCAUGAAUGGAAAUUUUGACUUUUCAGG